rnacentral:rRNA from 1 species
UACGUAGGGUGCAAGCGUUGUCCGGAAUUAUUGGGCGUAAAGAGCUCGUAGGCGGUCUGUCGCGUCGGAUGUGAAAUCCCGGAGCUCAACUCCGGGUCUGCAGUCGAUACGGGCAAGCUGGAGUACUGCAGGGGAGACUGGAAUUCCUGGUGUAGCGGUGAAAUGCGCAGAUAUCAGGAGGAACACCGGUGGCGAAGGCGGGUCUCUGGGCAGUAACUGACGCUGAGGAGCGAAAGCGUGGGGAGCGAACAGG